AAGAAAAGAAAAACCCAAGGCAAAAGAAAAACAAAACCCUUGAGGCAAAUAUGAAAAGUCAAGCAAAAGAAAUUCUCACAUUGUUCAUGUUCAAAAAGGCUAAAUCAGGAGGCAGAUUGGAAGCCUGGAAACUUGGAAGCAUCUUCAGGACCAGAGUUGGGUCAAUUGUUCUUUGAUAUGCUUGCUCACUGUGCAAAAGGACCCCAGCCAUGAAAAGUGAGGACUAUUGGAGAGUGAGAGCCAGUCAAGACCUCCUUAGGGCAAAGUUGUACAGCUAAAAACUAAGAGAACCUGAGUGUUGGAGGGAAUUUAGAGGUCAUCGAGUCCAACAGGCUUUGUGAUUGAUGGAUCCACAUUCAACCAUACCAGGCCCUGCCCUUUCUGCAAUACAGCCAGCACCUACUGAGGAGCCCUCAAAUUCAUAAGAUUGCUACUCAUCUUCGUGAGUUCAAAUCCAACCUCAAACAUUUACUUGCUGUGUUACCCUGGGUAAGUCACAGAACCCU